AUUGAACGCUGGCGGCAUGCUUUACACAUGCAAGUCGAACGGGCUGGGGGCAACUCCGGUCAGUGGCGAACGGGUGAGUAAUACAUCGGAACGUACCCCGUUGUGGGGGAUAACCCACCGAAAGGUGGGCUAAUACCGCAUACGCCCCAAGGGGGAAAGCGGGGGACCGCAAGGCCCCGCGCGAGGGGAGCGGCCGAUGUCGGAUUAGCUAGUAGGUUGGGUAAAGGCUGACCUAGGCGACGAUCCGUAGCUGGUCUGAGAGGAUGAUCAGCCACACUGGGACUGAGACACGGCCCAGACUCCUACGGGAGGCAGCAGUGGGGAAUUUUGGACAAUGGGGGCAACCCUGAUCCAGCCAUGCCGCGUGAGUGAAGAAGGCCUUCGGGUUGUAAAGCUCUUUCGGCCGGAACGAAAUCGCACGGGCCAAUACCCUGUGUGGAUGACGGUACCGGAAGAAGAAGCACCGGCUAACUACGUGCCAGCAGCCGCAGUAACAC
rnacentral:rRNA from 1 species